ensembl:snRNA U6 U6 spliceosomal RNA
GUGCUUGCUUCGGCAGCACAUAUACUAAAAUUGGAACGAUACAGAGAAGAUUAGCAUGGCCCCUGCACAAGGAUGACACACAAAUUCAUGAAGCGUUCCAUAUUUAU